GAUGAACGCUGGCGGCGUGCCUAAUACAUGCAAGUCGAGCGAACAGACGAGGAGCUUGCUCCUCUGACGUUAGCGGCGGACGGGUGAGUAACACGUGGAUAACCUACCUAUAAGACUGGGAUAACUUCGGGAAACCGGAGCUAAUACCGGAUAAUAUAUUGAACCGCAUGGUUCAAUAGUGAAAGACGGUUUUGCUGUCACUUAUAGAUGGAUCCGCGCCGCAUUAGCUAGUUGGUAAGGUAACGGCUUACCAAGGCGACGAUGCGUAGCCGACCUGAGAGGGUGAUCGGCCACACUGGAACUGAGACACGGUCCAGACUCCUACGGGAGGCAGAAGUAGGGAAUCUUCCGCAAUGGGCGAAAGCCUGACGGAGCAACGCCGCGUGAGUGAUGAAGGUCUUCGGAUCGUAAAACUCUGUUAUUAGGGAAGAACAAAUGUGUAAGUAACUAUGCACGUCCUGACGGUACCUAAUCAGAAAGCCACGGCUAACUACGUG
rnacentral:rRNA from 1 species